rnacentral:rRNA from 1 species
UACGGAGGGUGCGAGCGUUAAUCGGAAUUACUGGGCGUAAAGCGUGCGUAGACGGUUAUUUAAGUCGGGUGUGAAAGCCCCGGGCUCAACCUGGGAAUUGCAUUCGAGACUGAAUAGCUAGGGUACGGUAGAGGGAAGUGGAAUUUCCGGUGUAGCGGUGAAAUGCGUAGAUAUCGGAAGGAACAUCAGUGGCGAAAGCGACUUCCUGGACCAGUACCGACGUUCAGGCACGAAAGCGUGGGGAGCAAACAGG